GUGGGGAAUUUUGGACAAUGGGCGCAAGCCUGAUCCAGCCAUGCCGCGUGCAGGAUGAAGGCCUUCGGGUUGUAAACUGCUUUUGUACGGAACGAAAAAGCUCUCUCUAAUACAGGGGGUGAAUGACGGUACCGUAAGAAUAAGCACCGGCUAACUACGUGCCAGCAGCCGCGGUAAUACGUAGGGUGCAAGCGUUAAUCGGAAUUACUGGGCGUAAAGCGUGCGCAGGCGGUUAUGUAAGACAGAGGUGAAAUCCCCGGGCUCAACCUGGGAACUGCCUUUGGGACUGCAUAGCUGGAGUGCGGCAGAGGGGGAUGGAAUUCCGCGUGUAGCAGUGAAAUGCGUAGAUAUGCGGAGGAACACCGAUGGCGAAGGCAAUCCCCUGGGCCUGCACUGACGCUCAUGCACGAAAGCGUGGGGAGCAAACAGGAUUAGAUACCCGGGUAGUCC
rnacentral:rRNA from 1 species